AGUUAAAAAGCCAGUAGCGCCUAAUGUCUUGAAAACAUUAAAAAAGAAGUUUAAGUCUUCUAUUAACUU
rnacentral:tRNA from 1 species